rnacentral:rRNA from 1 species
UACGUAGGGGGCUAGCGUUGUCCGGAAUCAUUGGGCGUAAAGAGCGUGUAGGCUGCUCGGUAAGUCGGGUGUGAAAUCUCGGAGCUUAACUCCGAAACUGCAUUCGAUACUGCCGUGCUUGAGGACUGGAGAGGAGACUGGAAUUUACGGUGUAGCGGUGAAAUGCGUAGAUAUCGUAAGGAAGACCAGUGGCGAAGGCGGGUCUCUGGACAGUUCCUGACGCUGAGGCACGAAGGUCAGGGGAGCAAACGGG